rnacentral:rRNA from 1 species
UACGUAGGCAGCGAGCGUUGUUCGGAAUUACUGGGCGUAAAGAGCUCGUAGGUGGUUCGGUAAGUCGGAUGUGAAAUCUCCAGGCUCAACCUGGAGGGGUCAUUCGAUACUGCCGUGACUAGAGGUCGGUAGGGGAGUGUGGAAUUCCUGGUGGAGCGGUGAAAUGCGCAGAUAUCAGGAGGAACACCCGUAGCGAAGGCGGCACUCUGGGCCGAUACUGACACUGAGGAGCGAAAGCGUGGGGAGCGAACAGG